UCUUCAUUUCACACACUCUCUCGCCGGUCUGAGUAGCGAAAGAGUAUGCGAAAUGAAGAGA
rfam:Pristionchus pacificus strain PS312 contig5157, whole genome shotgun sequence.